rnacentral:rRNA from 1 species
AGCAGCCGCGGUAAUUCCAGCUCCAAUAGCGUAUAUUAAAGUUGUUGCAGUUAAAAAGCUCGUAGUUGAAUUUCGGGGUUAGUAGGUUGGUCAUGCCUCUGGUAUGUACUGAUCUCACUGAUUCCUCCUUCCUUAUGAACCGUAAUGCCAUUAAUUUGGUGUUGCGGGGAAUUUGGACUGUUACUUUGAAAAAAUUAGAGUGUUUAAAGCAGGCUAACGCUUGAAUACAUUAGCAUGGAAUAAUGAAAUAGGACGUUCGAUCUUAUUUUGUUGGUUUCUAGGAUUGACGUAAUGAUUAAUAGGGAUAGUUGGGGGCAUUAGUAUUCAAUUGUCAGAGGUGAAAUUCUUGGAUUUAUUGAAGACUAACUACUGCGAAAGCAUUUGCCAAGGAUGUUUUCAUUAAUCAAGAACGAAAGUUAGGGGAUCGAAGACGAUCAGAUACCGUCGUAGUCUUAACCAUAAACUAUGCCGACUAGGGAUCGGAUGAUGUUAAUUUUUUAAUGACUCAUUC